UACGUAGGGUGCAAGCGUUGUCCGGAAUUAUUGGGCGUAAAGAGCUCGUAGGCGGUUUGUCGCGUCUGGUGUGAAAAUCCAGGGCUUAACCCUGGACCUGCAUCGGGUACGGGCAGACUAGAGUGCGGUAGGGGAGAUCGGAAUUCUUGGUGUAGCGGUGAAAUGCGCAGAUAUCAGGAGGAACACCGGUGGCGAAGGCGGAUCUCUGGGCCGUAACUGACGCUGAGGAGCGAAAGCAUGGGGAGCGAACAGG
rnacentral:rRNA from 1 species